AGUAUGUGCAGCACCGGUGCAGAUCCCUGCUGAAUAUUAGGCACGGCUGUAGUGUUAACGUUGGAGUAAAGUAUCCUUGAACGUAGUAAAUUUGGGAGUUUUCCUACAAAUGAUGACCGAGGUGGUGAUACUGUGAUAUUCUCCAGUCCGGUAGGGAACUCAAAGUUGAUGUGCUUUCGGCAACACGAAUAUUUGGUUCUCAUAUCAUCCAUUCCUGCUGAAGCUUGAGCAUGGAUUGAAAAGGAAGUUCUUACAUUCAGUAGGCAAGAGCAACAGUGAAUAGAUCAGCAGUGAGUAGCAAGCUCAAAGAAAACGGAAGGCCAACCAAAAAAAGUGGAAAGCUGGAUAUCCGGAAUCAAAGUCACAUAAUUAUCUUGUACUCCAAAAAAAAUGUACAUUGAUAAGACAUCAAUUUUCCUGACUUGCAACUUCUGUAUCUAACAAAAUGGAUACACCAAGGACUGCAGCUGUUCAUGUAGACUUAAAACUCUUGUACUCAAUUGCUAAAGAACAAUGUAAAGAUCCAAUGAGGAAAAAAGCACUAAAGAUUUGAUCGAAGCAUGUACAUGAACAAAAGAAUGGAUUCUUCAGCGUCCUCAACAAUCUGACGCCCA